CAGAGAGCUCUGCUGUCCCUAGGUACUGCUGGUCAGAGAGAUCUGCAGGAAGCGCCUUUAAGAGUCUGUGUUAUAGCUCCAGUUUUAAUUUAUGUUCAUUACAAUUUUUAUCUGUGCACAAUUUAGCCUAGCAUUGUGAAUGUUACCAGCUGCUGGCUGUAAUUGUCAGGAUUUGUACAAAAUGUUGCUAUUUGACUAAUUAAAGUCUGGCCAAGUACAGAAUAUCAGACCUUGGGCUCUUCUGCUAAUUGUGCUGAGCUUUCUACCUGUUAAUUUAUUUGGAUAAAUAUUAUCAAAUGGUGUUGAUAAUUAACAACUAUUGAUGAAAUGUGCCUAUCACCUGUCACCAUCCUCUCAGGUUGCGUGUUUCCAGACUGGGAGGCUGAAGCGUUGCCCCUAUAGCAGCAUAUUAACGUGCCCAGCAGGGUAUCUGAAAGGGGGAAAAGUGAAGCCAAAACUUUUGACUCUCCAGAAGUAAGGCAGAACUGUGGUGUGGUCAGAGCACUGGACUGGCACUUGGAGGAAGUGUGUUCACAUCUCAGCUCUCCAGCCACCUCCUUAUGUGAUCUCAUGUAGAUCAGUUCUACAUGAGAAAAAUUGAGCACCAAGAGCACUGAAGAUUUGCUUGACUGAUAGUUCAUUCGGGACACCUUGGAGAUCUUCAUGGAGUACUCCAGGGAGAUCCAUUUAUCAGGUCCAAGCAAAGCUUUGUUUUUCCCCUCUCCUCCUCGUGAAAAAGCUAUCACCAGGUGCUAGUGUUUGGAGCAGCAUUGCAGUUUGAAUGUGUACAGGACCCGGUUGUUCUGCCAUAUUCCUGUCAGCUUUCCUGUGAGUGACAUACUGCUGCCACCUUCGUCUUUACAUGCGUGUGACAUUAAGGGCCGAUUUGUUGACCCUCGCAUUUUCUUUGAAUGUUUCUCAAAAGGAUUGAAGGAAUGCACACAAUUUUUCUGGGAAAAAUAACAGCCAGGUGAUUUAAUGGAGAAAUCCACCCUCUCCUUUGACUACCCUGUGCAAAUAUUUCUGUAGGUGCUGGUGAACUCGCAUACACUAAGGAACUGAGAGCAGCUUGCCAGGAUAGGAACCCCAUCCUGACAUCUUCAGCAAACCAGGACUUCCCAUGGGGCAGCAUGUCUGCAUGAGCAAUGGGGGCUGCAAAAAAAUGGAGCUGUUGGUGCAUGGACAAGCUUGCCAGCUCUGUGUCGUCCUUCCACCCUCCUCUGCCCCAUCCUCACUUGCCCACAACUCUGUGUGCUCCCCGGGGAAGCAAUUUUGAGUGUGGUUGAAGUGAAGCCUUUGCCUCAAAUCACUGCAGAUGUCUCAGUGAUGCUUGCCUUACCCAGAAAGCAAACAGGGCACCUUGUACACACUGCCCCAUACAGCGCUGAGCCAGCCUCUAUGUUGUGCCCUCCACUGCUGCAGAAGGAGUCUUCUAUGCACAGGAAUUGUUAUUGCAUUUAUUUUCCCUGUGUUGUUUUCAUGUACCUGCAUUAUUUUGUAUGCAGCAUGGAAAAACAAAGACAUUCCUUUAAA